rnacentral:rRNA from 1 species
GAUGAACGCUGGCGGCGUGCUUAACACAUGCAAGUCGAACGGAAAGGCCCAAGCUUGGUUGGGUACUCGAGUGGCGAACGGGUGAGUAACACGUGGGUGAACUGUCCUUCACUUCGGGAUAAGCCUGGGAAACUGGGUCUAAUACCGGAUAGGAUCUCUUGAUGCACGUUGUGGAGGAGAGAAUUUCGGGUGUGGAGUGAGCUCGCGGUGUAUCAGCUUGUUGGUGGGGUGAUGGUAUGCCAAGGGGUUGGCGGGGAGACGGCCAGUGGGGGUGUACGGCCACAUUGGGACUGAGGUGCGGCCCAAGCUGCUACGGGGGGGAACAGGGGGGAAUAUUGCACAAUGGGCGCAAGGCGGGUGCAGCGACGCCGCGGGGGGGAAGACGGGCUUCGGGUUGUAAAACCCUUUCGCUAGGGACGAAGCGUUUUGUGACGGUACCUGGUGAAGAAGCACCGGCUAACUACGUG